GCCGCUCCUCUCCCGCACAGGGUUAGGGUUCCUUGUGCCGACGCCGCCGCGCUCCUCGAGCACCUCCUGCUGCCUUUUCCCUCUCUUCCCUCCGAGCUUGCCGUCGGCGACGAGGCGCCGCCACGGCCGUUCUCUACCGCCUCCAGGAACCCGCCACGCGCGCCGAGGCGAGGGACUCCUGGCUCCUUCCAUCACCGCUUUGCCGAUGACCCCGCCGCCGGGCAGGAGGAGUGCUUCCGCUCCUCCAGGAACCAGCCACGCGCAUCAAGGUGAGGAGCCUCCUGGGCUCCGUCCGUCGCCUACCUGCAAGAGGGUGCCGUGUGGGCAAGGGUUUCGCCGGUCUGUGGUCGGCUGCGAUGAAUUGGGUGUCCUGCUGUCUUUUCUUCAGUGCUUCUUUGGCACCGGCACAACUCUGGUCGAGUACCUACUCUUCAGGUUUGUCUUCUUCAGCCUAUAGCUCCUAAACACCAGAUGGCUGAUUUUUGGAUGAUGCAGGCAUGAAUGGGGAUUCCUAAAUUUGUGCUUCAGUGUCGAAUUAUUGUUGCUUAUACAUAGGUUCAGAAUAUGCAUCCAUUGCUCGGAAAAAAAUACAUUAUACAUCUACGAUAUAUACAAUUUCGAAGGAUGAUUUUGUGAUCAAUUUCAUACCACAAGAAAUGAUCAAAAUGAGCAAUCAUCGACAUGGCUGAUGCUAGCAAUGAUAGCCAUGUCAUUGGUUCUUACUAAAUUACUCGCGAUGAAGUAAUGUGUCUUUAUGUUGGUCCUUCAGUAUUUGCUUUUGCGUUUAUUUUGCAAGCAAAAAACAGGUGAGCGAAUCGGGAUUCAGUCGUGGGAGAUUUUUUGCGAUGAUGUUGCUCCAUGUUCUUUUUGUGAUUCAGGUGUUCGUUUUGCACAUGUUCAUAGUGGGCAAAUCGUUUUUUUUGUGACGAUUUCUGUGGUUUUCAUCAUCAGUGUUAGAACACAUUUGUUUCAUCAGGGGAUAGUUCUGAUCUAUGCAUGCAGCUAGAUUUUCCAUUUUAAUUUUAGAGACGACAAGCAACUUUGUUGUGGUCUUAUUAGUUUUUCAAAAUGGAAAUUCAGUGAUGAUCAUGUUAUAUAUUACUAUUAGCAUAGGUUCAGAGAUAACUUUAGUCAGUAAACAAAUUAUUUUCUUGCAGGUAAGUUCUGAUGUAUGUUCAAUAGCACAAUUUUUAUUUUGAUCUACUAUGAUUAGUCAAUGUUAGCUCUAGCAUCAACACUAACUGUCACUCUCAUGCCACCCCAUGGACGCCUCUGACCAAGGUGCAGGUCGGUGCUCGCCGUGGGUACAUCCACCAGAUUUUCCUUAUGUAGUUUGUUGAAAAUGAAGUGCUUCCACCAGCAUGAAUAUUCCACGAAAAUCAGACUUAAUGUUUGGUAAAACAUGAAGCUCCAGUCCCUAUGGAUAUCGUCUAGAUCAAGGAUAUAAAUUAUCGUCUGCAUCCAACUGGUGUGUUUUGACGGAUGCUUGUGGCUGAACCCGCAAAUCCUCAUUGAGAUUUAGAUGUACAGGAUAAGAGUGUCAAGAAAGUCAAUAUAUGGUUUAGUGCGGCACAUAUGUUGUCUACUAGGUAGUUACGCAGACAUCUAUUCCAUCUAGGUGCUUACUUAUGCACACUUGUACUUUCUGUUGUAGUAGUUAAUUGAAGUGUUUUUUUUAAUUUGGUUUCUCAAGAUGCUGUCAUAGUAGUGUUAAUUAGUCUCAAUACUUUAAUGUAAAAUGCUCUAACUGAUGGUUGCCAUAUAGCCAUGGAUUGUAUACAGUUUGUUUGGUCACCCUGAAAUAAUAAAUUGUUCCUUUGUUUGUUUUUGUGUUCCAUAGCAAGGAUUGAAUAAUUAGAACCCAAAAGCAAGUUUCAGGAUUUGUAAUGAAAUCCUAUUGUCGCCUUAUGUCGAGGCAACCAUGACACUCUCUGUACCAAAUAGACCACAACAAAAAAUUUAACCCACCCAGUCGUUAUCCCUUAUGAGCUGAUUUAUAUCACUCAGGAUGUAAGGCCCACUUUGUUGGGGUUAGAAGGUACUUGUGGACACCACCUUUAAGAAUGUAGCUGAAUUCCGGAUUAUCUUCCUUAUGAUCAACCAUAUGGCUUCUACUAGAUGGAUGUUCAUCAAUUAUGUCGGAUGCCUGUUGGUGUUGUCAUCACUUGUCACAAGUUUGAUCUAUAUUGCACGGGAUAGUCCCUGUCAUGGGAAUGCCCUGUUCUCCGAAGUUUACCAAAACAAUAACUAUUUAGUUGAACAUUGACAGUGUUUCUUGUUUGUUCUGUUAAGGCGGUUCAAAAAGUUACAGGGUUUUUAAGAUUUAUCUGUGCUUUCUUGAAAGGUAUGCUCGGAUCACUUCUACAUAUCUGGAUAGGAAAGUUUGAUUCUUCCUUACUAGAGCCAUACGACCAAAAGAUGAUUGGAAGGCUCUUUCCAAGCAUAAGGUGGUUCAUGUAUAGUUUAAUUUGGGGUGACUCAGUUGGGACACCAGGAACAGGAUUGCCGCGGGGUUGGACAAGGGGCUGCGCUACUUGCACUUUUUGUGCAGCCUAGGAUACCAUAUUGCAACCUCAAGCGAGACUGCUGUAAACACCAUGCGGUGGUUGUAUGCUGCCAUGGAGGGAAUAAAAGGCGCAUGUCGAUUGCAAGGAUGAUUAUAAUAGUAUAACCAAGGAGUGGUUGGGCUAGCCCAAUUUUUUUCUCAAAAAUAAACGCAUAACUGCAAUGGUUGGUUGUUGCUUGAGGAGGUGCAUAUGUCGUCAAGGUUGUUAUUGCUGGAGCUAGGAACGCUUCCAUAUUCUAAAGUUGGUUGUUAAUGGUUGAGCCAGACUGUGGAAAAAGUAAACUUAUAGUGAGUAUUUAGUUUGCUAUAUCAGUUAUAAGAAUCACAUGCCUUUUAUGUUCAUGUUAUCUUUUGGUGUUACAUAGUUCACAAAGGUUGCAUUUUGGUAUAUACUUAGCUGCUCAUACAUUCAAGUUCCUAUAUCUUUUUCUGGCACACAUCUACAUGGCUAUACAUCUUUAACUAUAGGAGUGAUGCAAAUAUGGAUACCAGACAAAUGGAAAUAAGUAAAUUAAGGCCUGGAAAAAGUAAUAAGUAAAGAAUGUUAAGAAAAAUGUUGUAUAAUUUAAUGGCAAUGGUCAGAUAGUUGUAAUGGGGGUUAUAAUGAGUUGCCCCUUUUGUAGUCACCCUUUUAGUGGUGUCAAUGUUUAAAGUAUUAGCUUUAAUUAAUUAUCCAUUUAACUGAAAGAAGCAGGAAUGUACAAGAAGGUGAAGGGAUUGCAGCAGCUGAUCCAAGAAGAUGGCCACUCCUUUGAGUUUCUGUCAUAGAUAAGUAUACUGUUGAUGCCGUACUUAUUCUGGAGAGUCAACUGGAUAUUACAGUUAUCUUCUGUGACUGUGUGAACCCACUGCCAUAGUCUCAUAAAAUCAUAUCAUCAAUCUUACUGUCUCAGCCAGCAACAGGACUGCCAUCGGUUUUUUUUUAGAAUAACUGGCAUCAAAAAAAUGUAUCAAGGAUUAACUGUGUUUAAUGAGCUCACAAUCCUGAUUGAUAGAGGAGGAAUUUGCACUGGAUUUGAGAUUUCUCUCUUCACUGGUUUACAAUUAGUGGUUUUUUGUAUGCAGAUUAGUCAUUCAUUUGCUGGUGUUGUCCAUCAAUGUUGUGACAAACUGCACUAAUCGCCCGGUUUUGGUUGUAUCUUGGACUGCUCCGUCAACGUUUAUUUUCAUCAUCCCAGAUGAAGGAGGAUCCACCUUCGCUGUUGUACCCGCUGCACCCUUGCUUCACUUGAAACUCUUGGUGGUACUGUCAUCUCUAAGAUCGGAUAAGAAACGCGUAAUAAACAUAUGAGUAGCCAAUGGACUUUGGUGAUCACCUUCGUGAAUUAACUUCGGCCGAGCAAUCCAUAUGGCCCAGAUUGUCACCACCAUCCUUGUAAAUUCUUCCUGUGAUAAUGUCCCCAUCAUAGAGAAUAACCAAUUCCUUGCAUUCA